UUCCCCACUUGCGCUUAUGAACUCUGUGGGCAUCUUGAACCUCACCAUUUAUUUAGUCUUAUUCAGCCCCAGUUCCAGAAAUGCCGGAAGUUGUCUGUUACUAUGGUGAUGCGCCUAAACUCUCUAUUCAACAGCGCCUGUAUGUGUUUUUGUUAAAUGAAAUAAAAUGAACGGAGAUGAUAUGGUUCUGGAAUGUCUCAAUAAACAACAGGAGAGUCUGAACAUGAGUCACCGGGGUCUAGUUGUUUUGCCACCUGGCAUUUCGAGACUCGUUACCUUGAAAAAACUGUUUCUGAACAACAAUCAGCUCAUUUUACCACCUGACGAGAUUCUGCACCUGGAAAAGCUUGAAGAACUGAUACUGGAUGGAAACCAGCUGACCGUUCUUCCUAGCAACAUUGGAUCACUGAAACACCUGACUUACCUGGGUGUAAACCACAACCCAUUAUCUGUGCUCCCAGAAGCAAUAGGUGACCUGAGAGAACUGAGGGAGCUCUGGGCUGUUGGAUGUGGUCUCAUCUCCAUACCAUUAUCUAUUGGUAAUCUCAGCAAGUUACAGAAACUUGGGCUCCAUAAUAAUAAGAUUACACACCUACCUUCAAAAUUUGGAGCCCUCAGCAGUUUGCAGUGGUUAAACUUAGCUGAUAAUAAACUUCAAGACCUCCCGGAAGAGGUUAAUCACUUACAGUCUCUGGUCUUCAUGAAUCUGGACAAGAACUGUUUCACACACAUCCCUACUGCACUAACAGACAUGGCAAAUCUGCAGAUCCUGUCUGUUAAAUUUAACAGCAUCAGAUCACUGGAGGAUUACUUAAUCCCUGCUUUCAGCAGACUUAUAAAACUUGACCUCAGAGAAAAUCCUUUAAUGGAUAGACCACCUCACUGGAAGGGAUUGGAUUUCAUAUUGCUGGGAAAAGUGUGAUUUACUGAAGAAGCAGAUUCAUAUGAGAUAUGCAGAAACUGAAAAUGAACACCCAGUUGCAUUAAAUACUUUUGUCAGUGAAACAUAUGAAACAACGAGAAGUGGAUUUAUA